GUAGUCAUAUGCUUGUCUCAAAGAUUAAGCCAUGCAUGUCUAAGUAUAAGCAAUUUAUACGGUGAAACUGCGAAUGGCUCAUUAAAUCAGUUAUAGUUUAUUUGAUAGUACCUUACUACAUGGAUACCUGUGGUAAUUCUAGAGCUAAUACAUGCUUAAAACUCCGACUUCGGAAGGAGUGUAUUUAUUAGAUAAAAAACCAAUGCCCUCCGGGGCUCCUUGGUGAAUCAUAAUAACUUAACGAAUCGCAUGGCCUUGCGCCGGCGAUGGUUCAUUCAAAUUUCUGCCCUAUCAACUUUCGAUGGUAGGAUAGUGGCCUACCAUGGUGGCAACGGGUAACGGGGAAU
rnacentral:rRNA from 1 species